CCUACGGGUGGCAGCAGUGGGGAAUAUUGCGCAAUGGGCGAAAGCCUGACGCAGCGACGCCGCGUGAGGGAUGAAGGUCUUCGGAUCGUAAACCUCUGUCAGCAGGGAAGAACGGUCACUGUGCUAAUCAGCAGUGAAUUGACGGUACCUGCAAAGGAAGCACCGGCUAACUCCGUGCCAGCAGCCGCGGUAAUACGGAGGGUGCGAGCGUUAAUCGGAAUUACUGGGCGUAAAGCGCGCGUAGGCGGUAUGUCAAGUCAAGGGUGAAAUCCCCGCGCUCAACGUGGGAACGGCCGUGGAAACUGGUUAACUAGAGUGUAUGAGAGGUAGGCGGAAUGCCUGGUGUAGCGGUGAAAUGCGUAGAUAUCA
rnacentral:rRNA from 1 species